UACGUAGGGAGCAAGCGUUAUCCGGAUUUAUUGGGUGUAAAGGGUGCGUAGACGGAGAAGCAAGUUAGUUGUGAAAUCCCUCGGCUUAACUGAGGAACUGCAACUAAAACUACUUCCCUUGAGUACUGGAGAGGAAAGUGGGAUUCCUAGUGUAGCGGUGAAAUGCGUAGAUAUUAGGAGGAACACCAGUGGCGAAGGCGACUUUCUGGACAGUAACUGACGUUGAGGCACGAAAGUGUGGGGAGCAAACAGG
rnacentral:rRNA from 1 species